GAUGAACGCUGGCGGCGUGCCUAACACAUGCAAGUCGAACGAAGCUUGACGGAUGAUUUCUUCGGAAUGAAACCAGAUAUGACUUAGUGGCGGACGGGUGAGUAACACGUGAGCAACCUGCCUUUCAGAGGGGGAUAACGGCUGGAAACGGUCGCUAAUACCGCAUGAUGUGUUCGGAUGGCAUCAUCUGAACAUCAAAGAUUUAUCGCUGAAAGAUGGGCUCGCGUCUGAUUAGAUAGUUGGUGGGGUAACGGCCUACCAAGUCUACGAUCAGUAGCCGGACUGAGAGGUUGAACGGCCACAUUGGGACUGAGAUACGGCCCAGACUCCUACGGGAGGCAGCAGUGGGGAAUAUUGCACAAUGGGGUAAACCCUGAUGCAGCAACGCCGCGUGAAGGAUGACGGUUUUCGGAUUGUAAACUUCUUUUCUUAGUGACGAAGACAGUGACGGUAGCUAAGGAAUAAGCAUCGGCUAACUACGUG
rnacentral:rRNA from 1 species